AGCCCCAGAGGGCGGCCUGGGACCUGAGAAAGGACUCAAAGCAGAUGCCGGUGCCCUGCCCUGCCCUGCCUGGCUGACAUUCCCCCUGGCAGAGACUUCACACACUGGGCUCUGCUGGUGACAGAAGCUUCGGCCCCUCCCACAACCCCAGGCUUUGGUCAGGGAUUAAGUUUGCCUCCAGUGGCCCUGAAGCUGGGCUCCUCCCGGCCUGAAUCCCCUGCACCUGCUCUUUAAAUGGAAUCAAUUGCUGAUGUCCCAACUCCUCAGCUGCCAAACAGUCAAAGCAUCCCAAUCAUGGAUACCAACACCUUCAUCCUCAAAGGGUGCCCCGUCAGCUCCUAGACCCCCUCCCAACCUGGCCUGAGGCCUAGAGCUGCUUUUCUGCCCCCUUCUGUCAGUCACUGAUCCCGGAUCUUGGCAGAAGAUUAUUCUCAAGCCCCAUCAAAGCCUAGAAUUCACAAGUGGAAAAAGACCACGAGCAGACCAGGCUUUGAUCUGCAGCAGACAGGAGCCAGGGCCACGGCCCCAGUGAGGGACAGGGUCUCUAAAACCAGGAACCAGGCCUUCCCUCAAAAAACCACACACCCCAACCUCAGAAAUUCAUAACCUUUCUUUGUAACAUCCUGUUAGUUUACUCCAUGCCCCUCAAAUGCUUUAAAGCCUACUUUUUACACAAAGAUGGGUCAGGUUCACCACUGAGCCAUCAGCCACACUCCCCCUCACUGACCUGCUCCCCAGCUCUUCCCUCAGGACCACCGUCCCCACCUCCUGCACCUGGCAGGGAGCUAUCCCAGCACCUUCGGUCCUCACAGAUUUCCCUUUCAAAGCUCCUCUAUUACCAGCUGCAAAACUUAACGUCUGGACCAGCAAAGUCCAGUAGAACUUUCUAUAAGGAUGAAAGUGACCUUCUGCACUGUUCAGUUCAUUAGCCAUGAGCCACAUGUGGCCACUGAACACCUGAAAUGUGGCCAGCAACAGAUUUUUUAAUUCAGUUUAAUGUAAUUAAUUCUGAUUUUAAUAGCCAUGCAUGGGUAUUGGCACCAUGUUGAACAAUGCAGCCUUACACUACCAUUUGUUAAUUUUGCCUUCUCCAAAUCGGUUUCUUGGCCCCCAAAACUUUAAGGCUGCUUUAUAUGUCUACCCUCCAAUCAACGAAGCAUAUGGUAGGAUGCUUGGCAAACCAUCCAGCACCUAUAACCACAGUGAAUAUAAAAGAGGCUGUUUUGGUCAAUGAAACUUCUGUUGCUUUGUGAUUCCAUCCAGGCAAACCCCAGUUUGGAACACUGCCCCUCACCCACUCACACUACCUAUCUUGGUCCCUGACAGGUACACAGCACGAGGUGUGCUGGACAGGAUGUGGGCUGUACUGUCGGGCAUGUGGGAGCUCUUGUGUGUCCCUCUAGCAGCAUCCAGACCAACCAUGGAAGUUUCUAACUGUCUCCCACUCAGAACACCAAGGAAGCCACAUCACAGCGACACUAAGUGACCUGGGGAGGGAGGACUGCUGGAGAAUGGAAAGGAGAUGAAACCUCAGGACCUUGUUUUUUCCAAUGCAAGCAAUGGAAAGGUAAACAGAGAUAAGUUAUGACAACAUUCUAUAUUUUGUAGCGCAAUAACGUGCUUCACUUAAUCAGACUCGCACAGCAGAGAGGGACAGCAGGGACAGCUUUAAUUAAAUUUGUUUAGCUGAUACCUAACAGUCACCAUGACACAGUGAGGCAGGAAGCAGCUGAACGACUCCGCAAGAAAUAUGAUCCAUUGCCACACAGCUGGGUUGACGACCAAAGAAAUGAUUAAUAGAGUUCCAAUUUCUUAUAUAAAAAAUACUACUAAUAAAUAAGAUUUCUUUCAAAAAGGAAAAGGGGUGAGAGUGGUUAAAAAAAAAUGCUUGUUACCAUACAUGCAAGAGUCAUGGACAUGCUGAGUCGGUUUAUAAGCUGCCCCUCCAACUUUGGGUGUUACUGCUGGGGAGGAGAUAAGUACCCACCCAGCACCCAGUUGCUGACAGUCGAUGAGGGCCUGCACAGAGUGGCUCCUGGGGCUGGAGGGGCUCUGGAGAGCAGCCAGCCCCAGGCUGGAGCCUGCUGAUGUCACCGCAGUUACCAGGUGGAAGAGGCCUGACACGGGCAGUCAGGCGUCCUGGGUUCAAAUCCGGCUCUGCCCAGGACAGGCCUAUGUCACCUUAAGUGAGUCUCUGCUCCGGGCCUUGGGUUUCUCAUCUGCAGAAUGAGGGGUCUCGAUGAAAUGACCUCUACAGGGCCUUCCAUUCUGACUGUAGAUGAGAAUGACUCAGAACUCAGCAAAAGCAGCCGGGAGAGAUGGCGAGUGAGGCCGCAGUCCCCGCCAAAGGCACGUUAGCUCUCAGAGUGGAGAUACCAGCAGGGCGCCUGGGCAGCCACCACCUCCCAUCAACUCCCAGAGCUAUGAAAUAGCAAAUGUCAGAACUCCCCUCAACUCCCCUAAACCUUCUCCUUCAGGCAUCUUCCUGAUGGGGAGCCCAUCCAGCCUACAUCUUCCUCCCUUGCUCUACCAUCAAACACUCUUGGGUUAGAAAAUCAUCUCGCCACUCAGCACCUAAGGUUAUUAAGUUUUUACACAAAGAUGUGUGGGAAAUCUACAAUUUAACAGUUGAGUCAACUUACAAAAUCUGGGAACAAGCUGCCUGUCAAAACAGCCUCUGACUACAAUCUUCACCCACUUCUAACCUGAGAAGGAUAAACUGUGAGUGUUACUUAAAAUACUGCUGGAUUUUUCCUUUCAGAAUUAUUCAGAGGGGGAAAAUAGCCAAAUCUCUCUCCUAUUAAUUAAAACAGAAACACGAAUUGCCACCCAAAAGCAUUUUAGAAUGUGGUUUUGUGUGUCAUUAAAUAAAAUGAGGAGCAGAAGUUGAGAGCUUUUGUUUUGAAGUCUGUAUACAGUAUUCCAACUACCCAAGCGAAAGAGCAGCCAGUGUCCUCAAACUGCUGUUGGGUGAAGGCAGAUGGCGUCUCAGAGGGAACAGAAAACUCUCCCAAAGAAAACGUCUGUCACUUCCCCAACAAUACAGGUUAACUGCGGUUAUUAAACAGUAUUCACUCAACUCCACUCGCCAAGGUCAUAAACAUGGUCAAACAACUACCCCUUCUCCCUGCCCCCCAGUUAUGAGUUAUGGGGAAAAAGCGGUUUAAAGAGCAGAUAUUACAGUGUUCAAGAUACUGGUAUAUUCCUUCUCCUCUGUCAACACUAAACAACCCAAAGCCCGCAGCAAUACUUAGAAACCAAAGAAAUGUGGCGGUGUUGGGGUUUGCCCAAUGUGCAACCCAAAAAGAGGAAAGCAGAAAGAAAAUAAUUUCUGAGGCUUUGAAAUCUGUAAGUUGGACCUACUUGCCCUUUACAACCCCGAAGUACCAGGGUUCCAUUACAUCUAAUUAUAUAUUCCAACAGUUCCACCCGUAUGUGAAGUUCUGCAUUAAUUGCUGAAAUACAGCGAGUCAGUGAGGAUUGAGGGGGAUGAGAAAAUACAACACAGGAAGUAUUUUUCUCCUCCUCCAAUCAUUAAGAUACCUCGGGGGAAAUAGGCGUGAUGUGUCACCUUUAGAGAUGUGGUUUGAUCUGAAACUUCCCUAAGGGGAAAACCUUCUUAGUGACCUCGAACACUGGCUCAAACUGCAGUGGGACCCACCCAUCUGAUCAGAUCUCCAAGUCCAUUCUGUUUAACUUCUCACUUAAAUCCCCAUAUUCCUCCACCACACCCCCUUUAAAAAAAAAAAAAAGAGGUUGGGUUUCCCCAGCUCAGGGAUAACGCUCGUGUUCCCCCUGUCGACCAAUCGCCCAGGCCCAGGGCUCAAGUGGCCACCUCUGAUUUGCGGGAUCAGCGCGGGGCCACGCCGCGGUUUGGAGAGCAGGCUUACAGGGAUCAAUGGAGCUACGGAAACAGCAGGCAACGCCGGGAGCCUGCUGGCCUCCCAUAUGGAGCCUCACCGGCACUGAAG